rnacentral:rRNA from 1 species
UUNCACGUUUUCCGCGCCGUAGCUAACGCAUUAAGUGCCCCGCCUGGGGAGUACGGCCGCAAGGCUAAAACUCAAAGAAAUUGACGGGGGCCCGCACAAGCGGCGGAGCAUGCGGAUUAAUUCGAUGCAACGCGAAGAACCUUACCAAGGCUUGACAUAUACUGGACUGCGUCAGAGAUGGCGUUCCCCUUCGGGGCUGGUAUACAGGUGGUGCAUGGUUGUCGUCAGCUCGUGUCGUGAGAUGUUGGGUUAAGUCCCGCAACGAGCGCAACCCUCGUUCUAUGUUGCCAGCACGUGAUGGUGGGGACUCAUAGGAGACUGCCGGGGUUAACUCGGAGGAAGGUGGGGAUGACGUCAAAUCAUCAUGCCCCUUAUGUCUUGGGCUUCACGCAUGCUACAAUGGCCGGUACAGAGGGUUGCGAUACUGUGAGGUGGAGCUAAUCCCUAAAAGCCGGUCUCAGUUCGGAUUGGGGUCUGCAACUCGACCCCAUGAAGUCGGAGUCGCUAGUAAUCGCAGAUCAGCAACGCUGCGGUGAAUACGUUCCCGGGCCUUGUACACACCGCCCGUCAAGUCACGAAAGUUGGUAACACCCGAAGCCGGUGGCCUAACCCUGGUGGGGGGA